AGCUUUGUGCAGUGGCAAUAUCAAAGCCAAUGAGGUUUAUCCAAGGCGUGAUUAUUGCCAAUUAAUCUUUUCAUCCGGGCACAUUUAAAAAAUUUUUUUUAUGUUUAUUAAAUAAAUUAAAAAGCCAUUAAAUAUUG